UAUCUGUGCUUGUAGGAUUGUUUGACUUGCUUCCUGUGCAAGUUAGGAUAGUUUGACUUGCUUCCUGUGCAAGUUAGGAUAGUUUGACUUGCUUCCUGUGCAAGUUAGGAUUAGUUUAGACUUGCUUCCUGUGCAAGUUAGGUUUUGCUUGGCUUGCUUCCUGUGCAAGUUAAGUGUGUGUGGGGUGCUUCCUGUGUGAGCCAUACUUAGGAUAGGUUGGCCCUUGUGCCAUUUAGCUAGAAACCAUAACUUAGGGUUGAUUUUGCAUGACAACAUCUAGGCUCGAGUCGUAGUCUCCCUAG
rnacentral:lncRNA from 1 species